rnacentral:tRNA from 1 species
ACUCUUUUAGUAUCAAUCAGUACAGUUGACUUCCAAUCAACCAGUCCCGGGGCUAACCGGGGAGGAGUA